rnacentral:hammerhead_ribozyme from 1 species
AUUCAACUGACGAGUCCAAAAUAAGACGAAACACGCAACUUGGAU